rnacentral:rRNA from 1 species
GGAAUCUUGGGCAAUGGGCGAAAGCCUGACCCAGCGACGCCGCGUGAGGGAUGAAGGCCUUCGGGUCGUAAACCUCUUUUAUCAGGGAAGAAGUUCUGACGGUACCUGAUGAAUAAGCCACGUCUAACUACGUUCCAGCAGCCGCGGUAAUACGUAGGUGGCAAGCGUUGUCCGGAUUUACUGGGCGUAAAGGGCUUGUAGGCGGUUCGUUAAGUCUGGUGUGAAAUCUCCCGGCUCAACUGGGAGGGGUCAUCGGAUACUGGCGAGCUAGAGGUGGGCAGAGGAAAGCAGAAUUCCCGGUGUAGCGGUGAAAUGCGUAGAUAUCGGGAGGAAUACCAGUGGCGAAGGCGGCUUUCUGGGCCUAUCCUGACGCUGAGGAGCGAAAGCGUGGGUAGCAAA